GCUGCUGAUUAAAAAUUAACUAUUUUCUCAUCCUUGCGAUUUACCAGCUUUCAAUUCUUUAAUCACUUCCUUCCAUUGAUAAGUGACUACAAUGGCCUCCCCACCUGGCUUCAUUUCUCGGGACAAGUUAAAAAUCUGGGAAAUCUUUCGCGACGACGUUGGACCCGAAGGAGAGGAAAUUUUAAAGACGGCCAAAUUAGCACAUGUUGUCAACAAUAAGCAUGGUCUCGUCGUCACCAUGACGGAUGAAACGUACUCCUUCUUCCGUGGCGAGGAAGGGUGCAAAAUUACAAAGAUUCCGAACCUUUGUGGCAUCAAGGCUAAAGAAUUUGUCGUUGCCUUUCGUGGCCUUGCCAUAACGGAGGAUGGAUCCUUGUAUUCUUGGACUAAUGGUCAAUUCCUGAUCCACCAUAAAGAUAAGGGCCUGGAUACGCUCCAUCUGAAGCCCUUUGACACGGCACCGCACCUCUUGGGGGGAAGUUUGGCGGGAAAGAAGGUACAACAAGUCGCUCUAGCAGAGGAGCGUGCCAUGGCGUUAACCGUGGACGGAGAUGUGCAUCGCUGGGUUCGAAAUGGGAAGACCACUUCCGAGCCAAUGGUGAUCCCCAGGGAGCACUUUGAUUACCAGGAAGUCCUCUCGCUCGCCUGCACCAACUACAUUUACGCCGCUCUUACAUCAAACGGAGAGUUAUUCCAUUGGGAGCUGGACAAAGAGUUGCCCCAAAAAGAGGUCAUAGAUACGGCACCGUUAAAAAAGAUAAUUGCAAGCUGGAGCAUAAUUUUUGCACUGACUGUUGAAGGAACCCUGUACACGGGGAGAUUUCAUGAUAAAAUAUCCAUAGAACCAAAGCCUAUGUGGGUGGUGGUCAUGGAGCACGUAAAAUUCCACGAUAUCACAACCUUUGGAUCCGAUAACGUCGUCGUUGUCGAGUUGAAGAACAAUAAGAUCCGACCGUGGUGGAAUUAUUGAUCCUAAUAUUCUCUCAAUUUCGCCAAGUGUUACUUCGCUGGACGACCUCUUUGCUCAAAUUGGUGAAACAACUUGGCGAACUAUUAGGGCGGAAAGUGAUGCGGAACCAGGCACAGUGGGUGGUGAUAUUGGCAGCUUGUGGGCGAGCAAGGAAAAUGUGGACAUUACAUUUUCCGUGGAAGGGAAGCCUAUUUCGGCGCAUAAAUUAAUCCUGACCACGAGAAGUGAUUAUUUCGCGAGAAUGUUUAGCAACGAGUGGAAGGAGACGGCAGGAUCUUCCCGUAUUGAGAUCAAGUACACGAAGUACACAGUUUUUGAGGCUCUACUCUUUUACAUUUACCACAACAAGGUCAAAUUCGCUGGGGACGAGUAUGAAGACAUUUUUGGCCUCAUGAUGCUAGCGGACGCCCAUUGUGCCGUCAAAAUCCGUCAGGAAUGUGAACAGAUUCUGAUGGAGAACAUCAGCGCGGAAAAUGCCAUUUUCCUCGUUCGAAACGCUGCCUCGGCCAACGCUUUGGUUUUUUUCUCAAUUAAUAGUUAAUUAUCUAUUGUCACUGGUUAAUAUUUGAAUGUGAAUAUAAAUUCAUAUUUUUUUGUUGAACAUUAAUAAAUAAAUA